rnacentral:rRNA from 1 species
UACGUAGGGUGCGAGCGUUGUCCGGAAUUAUUGGGCGUAAAGGGCUCGUAGGCGGUUUGUCGCGUCGGGAGUGAAAACACUGGGCUUAACUCAGUGCUGGCUUUCGAUACGGGCAGACUAGAGGUAUGCAGGGGGAGAACGGAAUUCCUGGUGUAGCGGUGAAAUGCGCAGAUAUCAGGAGGAACACCGGUGGCGAAGGCGGUUCUCUGGGCAUUACCUGACGCUGAGGAGCGAAAGUGUGGGGAGCGAACAGG